GCCCAGCACAGAGGGGGAAGCAGAGCUCACAGGGCGACUGCAGGGCUUGUGAGCGUUUCUGGAGCAGAAGUUUUCCUCACAGAGAGGGACACAGCAGACAGCAGGCACCAUGGAGCCCCCCUCAGGCCCUGCCCGCAGACGGUGCGCCCCCUCCAACAGGCUCCUGCUGGCAGCCUCACUCUUAACUUUCUGGCCCCUGCCCACCACUGCCCAGCUCACUAUUGAAGUGGUGCCCCCACUUGCUGCAGAAGGAUCGAAUGUCCUGCUACUUGCCCACAACGUGACAGAGAAUCCUCUAGGCUAUACCUGGUACACAGGAGACAGAGUAGAAAACCAGCAGCUAAUUGCAUCAUAUAGACCAGACACUAAUGUAACUACCAAAGGGCCUGCACACAGCGGUCGGGAGACACUUUACCCCAAUGGAACCCUGCUGAUCCAGCACGUCACCCAGAAAGACACAGGAUCCUACACCCUGCUCAUUUUAAAGAAUGAUUUACAGAAUGAAAGACAGCCUGGAUACCUCCACGUACACCCGGUGCUACCCACACCCGUCAUCACCAGCAACAACUCCAAGCCCUGGGAGCACGAGGACACUGUGGUGUUAACGUGUGGACCUGAGACCCAGAACACCUCCUACAUCUGGUGGAUCAACGAUCAGAGCCUCCCCAACAGCACGAGGCUGGAACUGUCUGAGGACAAGAGGACUCUCACUGUGUUCAAUGUGACACGGAAAGACACAGGGCCCUAUGUGUGUGAAGCCCGGAACCCAGUGAGUGUCCGCCGCAGUGACCCAUUCACCCUGCAGGUCCUCUACCCAGUGGCACGGCCCUCCCUCCAAGCCAGCAACACCACAGUCGCAGAACAUGAGGGUCCCGUGGUCCUGACCUGCCUCACAAAUGAGACUGGGGUCUCCAUACGCUGGUUCUUCGAAGGCCAGAGUCUCCUCCUCACAAGGGGGAUGACACUGUCCCUGGACAAUAGCACCCUCACCAUAGACCCCGUCAGCAGAAAAGACAAUGGGGAUUAUCAAUGUGAGGUCUCCAACAGGGGCAACUCCAGCAAAAGUGACCCCCUCAGGCUGCAUGUGAAAUAUAAACCGACAUCAGAAAGUUCCUCUGACCUCUCAACUGGUGCCGUUGUCGGCAUCGUGAUUGGAGCUGUGGCUGGGGUGGCUGCUCUGAUAGCAGCCCUGGUGUAUUUUCUGUACAUCAGAGAAACUAGACGGGCAACUGACCAGCGCGAUCUCACAGAACACAAAUCCUCAGAUCACAACCACAGUCCUCACACUCUUCCUAGUCAUGGAAGAGCCCCCAGAGACAUGGCCCCUCCGAGGCCACACAAGCCAGGCAGCCGUGAGAUGGCCGAGCUUCCAGGAGCCCUUUCCUCAUCCUACCUCCUUCCCCCUCCUGCCUCUGUUAUGGAUGCGGACAUCUCCUAUGGUCAAGGACACUCUGACAGUUCACCUGAAAAGGUUAAUGAAGUUGAAUAUUCCUCCGUGAACUUCAAUGCCCAGGAAUUAAAAAAGAAAGCAACUUCAGCCUCCCCAUCUCCAACACAUACAGAAACAAUUUAUUCAGAAGUGAAAAAACAGUAAUGGAACCUGUCCUGCUUGUUGCACUGUUGACUUAUUCCAAGCUUCCCACCUCCAUCCCCAGGGGAUCCCUCUGCCCUCAGGGAACAUGAGGAGAGAGUCUUCCCCCAGCUCCUUUGACCCCUAAUGAGGCUCCUCCAGGCUGCCUGGUCACAGCCCCUUCCUUCAGUGUCAGUGGAUGAAAAGGCACAUCCAUGAGGAGGUCUGUAGGAAACCAAAACUUCCUCGUCAUUGAAAUCUAGCAAAGCGGACCCUGGGAGAAAGUUGCCAGAACCUCUGCCCCUCCCCAUUUGCUGACCUAGACCAGUGUAAACUUGUGUAUUUAGAACACAUUCAUUCCUUCCCACCUCAGUCCUAUUGGAGUCUAACAUGAAUUUGCCAUAACCUGGAGAAUGAUUUCUUAUCCACUGAAAUGCCUGUGCCAGAAAAGAAGAGCAAGGAGAAGGAAAACGAAGAGCUUCUGCACUCUGAAGCCCAGUGUGAAUCCACCAUUCACAGGAAGACACAUACAUGACCAGCUCUGAGCUGGGAAGUUCUACACCUUUGUCCGCUUUCAGGGUUGUCUACCUGCAGGAUCAGGGACUAAACAACUUACUACUUAGCUAGAAUACCAUCUAAACCUUUGAAAGCAUGCCUUCAGAGAACCCACUAGAAGCAACUUGAAAACAACUGCUCAGCAUUCAUAAGUGUAUCUUGAUGGAAACUGCAAAAACAAACAAAAAAACCGCACAUACUGUUUUAAUAAUACUGUGGGCUUUAUUCAAGGCAAUGCCCGGAGACUGAGGGGUCAUCAGUUUAUGGGGCAGUCAGCUCUUACCAGAUACAAUCUGCUGGGAUUGGGGAAAGGACUCAGAAAACUACCCUGCAGAGAUUAUUUAAAUAAUGGUCAAAGAAUGUACAGUUUGGGGGUAUUGGUUAUUUUUUCCCUUCCUUCUGAGACAUUCUGCCAUUUUAACUUUUGUAACCGCUUGUUUGUGUGAAAGGGGUUCUGUUUAAUUUGCUGCAUAAGCCAAUCUGACCACUUCAGGGGGAUGAGCCUACCAAAGCUCCUCAUGUCCCUCUGGCCAUGAGCUCCCUAAGCCUUUUGUGUCAGGGGCUCCGCACAGAAAAUAAGAAGUAGCAGUUGUCUACCUUCACGGCCAGAAAUGGGUCUCACUCCAUUUCUAGGCAUCUCAGGCCAGUCAUCAACCCCCUUCUCUUCCGUGUUCCCGCCUGUGCCUGUUCUGUCCGUCUGCCCCACUUACCUUCUCAGGAGCCUUCUUGAGAAGCAGGAGCGCCCAGAAGGGAACACGGCCCCUUGCGCUGUUAGUAUUGUUUACAGCCCAGGAGGCCGCACUGGUGCGCAAGCUCCUUAGGACACAAGGUGCAGAUUAUGACUCAGCCCUGGGUUUCUUGAAGAGCCUCUGGAAUUCUUCUCCCAUGGGGUGCACGGGACCCAAUGUGUCGGCACAGAAAGGGAGGACGGGAGGAGGAGAGGUGCACCUGCUUCCCACCAGCCUUCUGCACAGGCGGGGCCUCCUUGGGCUGCUGAGAGAAAGGCUUUAUUCCACCUUCAUGACCGACCGCCUGCUGUGUGGAACUGGCCCCCGAGAGGGGUGGCUGGGAGCACUCUGUACUCAGGCAGAAGAAAUAGAAAUUGCUCAACAGGGAGUCAGAGUGAGCCUGUUUCUAAGUCCAGAGGUAUUUGAUCCUGGGAUCCGAGAGCUCAAUCAAUUCGUGUGCACACCUGCUGACAAAGUGUGUCCACCUAGAGCCACAGGUCACUGCUCCAACCUGCCUGGAAGGACCUGCCUGUCUUCCUCUGGGAGAGAAGGAGAGAAGAUGAUUUCAUGAGUAAAAGGUCUGCUGGGCUCUUCACUAGGGACACACCGCACUGCCCACACAGAUGGCUCCAGUGCGUCCCAUGCCUGAUCCAGCAUUCACUCCCACAGUCUCCAUGGGCUCAGCCCCUGAUUUCCCCUGGCCCUCAGCUGUGGUGCCUCCUUCCCAAGACCACUGGAAGCAGCAAUAAAGUCAGCACACAGGGGACUUCCCUGGCGGUAAAGAAUCCAUCUUCCACUGCAGGGGCCACUGGUCGAUUCCCUGGUCCAAGAAGAUCCCACAUGCCGUGGAGCAACUAAGUCCAUCUGCCACAACUACUGAGCCUGUGCUCUGCAACAAGAGAAACCACCGCAGUGAGAAGCCCACCCACCACAACUAGAGAGAGAGUCCUCACUCUCCACAACUAGAGAAAAGACUGUGAAGCAAUGAAGAUCAGCCAAACAUAAAAUAAAUGAACAAAUACUUUAUUUUGUUAA